rnacentral:rRNA from 1 species
UGCCUUCGGGAACUGUGAGACAGGUGCUGCAUGGCUGUCGUCAGCUCGUGUUGUGAAAUGUUGGGUUAAGUCCCGCAACGAGCGCAACCCUUAUCCUUUGUUGCCAGCGGUCCGGCCGGGAACUCAAAGGAGACUGCCAGUGAUAAACUGGAGGAAGGUGGGGAUGACGUCAAGUCAUCAUGGCCCUUACGACCAGGGCUACACACGUGCUACAAUGGCAUAU